GAUCCCCUCCCCUAGCCCCCAAGCCAAAAGGAUUUGUGAAUAAUGUAGCCUUCCCAUGUGCUAAGGAAAAAGGAGCAUUUGGUGAGCACAUAGUGUUUUGUCUUCCAGAGUCAGUCCUUCCAGUAUGAAGUAUCUGUUGCACUGUUUCUUCUAAAUAUAGAAAACAUUAAUGACCUCUCCAAUGAUGCAGAUAACCCAAAGUUAAUCCAGUCACUUCCUCCAGUUCAAAGUCUUGAAUCUCCAGGUGAUGCACUAUCUAUUCCACUGGGCCAGAAUCUAUAAAUUGAAAAAAGUGUUUAUAUGGCUCCCAUCUUUCAAAACCCAACAAUGACAUAAUAACAUUCUCAAAUGAAAAGGUGAAGAAUGGCCUCCACAGAAUAGACUCUGGAAUAAAUAAAUACUGAAACCUGCUUAGUGAACAUUAUGAAGGCCAUCUCUCCUUAAUGAGGUCUUAAUUCCAUUCUCUGGGAGGAAUCUCCUGAACUAUCUUCUCCAUAGAGAUUCCCUGGCUCUGCCCUCUGAGAGGUUGUUUCUUGUUUAUUGUCUUCCUUAUAGACAUCUGAAGUAAGUGUUAGGGAGCAUGUUCUUCUUGAGGACUACUAGGUUUGCCACCUGUGUAGCCUGAUGAUUGUCAUUUACUUUCCCCCCCAAAUCCUCCAUUGUUUUAGACCAGGCUCAUGUUUUACUUUUUUGUCGGUAGAAUUCUUUCACACAUUUUGUGUCUUUUGACCUAUUUGGUUUUUGUCACUUCCAUGUGCCAGUAUUCACACCUAAAGAUCUUCCUUAGAUAUGUUACUGAUGAGUCUGUGUUGUAUGAAUGGAGUUCCCAGUUCUUGGAUUCCCCAGAAAAAGAUUUAUGUGAGGAUCUACAUUUGAAUAAGGACAGCCAGAAGGAAAGUAGCAGGUGCCAAGCCGUUUAUUAAAGGGCAAGUGCAGUUGCAAGGUGGGAGGGCAGGCAGGUUCUCCAACAUGGGACCAGCUCCUAGGUUGUUUGGGGAUCGGAUAUUAUUGGGUCUCUCUGGGCUGGAAGGAGAGCUGUGACUUACAGUGGGGUGGUCUCCAAUAGAGGCCCCUUCCAAUCCUUUGGGGAACUCCUCCCACAAAUUGGGAGGGGGAAUUUUUGACUAUACAGGGUUUGUACCUGAAUGUCAUGGCCUUUCUCCAAGGUGGGGAGGGCUAUACCCACAAUGUAAAUGCAUUAGAAUGAGUCUAGAUGUUAUCCUGGAGUAGAGGUAGAAGCGGAGAGCACAUGCUCUGCACCUCUGGCUCUUGGUCUGUCAGCCCUAAGGUCUUGGAAGCCCCAAGAUCAGGAUAAUACGCCCUGGUGGCUUCUAAGGUGUAACCUAUUUGUCACCAUCCUUGCCUCCAACUCCUUCCUGUGUCUACGAUUCCCCCAUUCAAGGACUUGGGACUCUGCCUCAGGGCGUUCCUUCCACUGCACAUAUCUAGCUUCCGCCUAACAGAUAUAGCUCACAAAUCUGUUUAAUUUUCUUUCUUCUUCAUCUUCAAGCCUCUGACUCUGCUAAUGCCAGCUCUUUUGAGGCUAUCAGGCUUCUUAGGAAGGUUGGAUUACAAAUCUGAAUUUGGGCAUAAGACUGAGUCACUCUGUUCAAGAACUUUAUGAAUUCCACCUCUUACUAGUUGGAGUCUGGAAGCAUAUAGCAAGGCCCCACCUUUCUAAAUGUUCAUUCUCUUUUAUUUUUGCUUGCAAACUUAGCUACUUUUUCUUAGUCCAUCUCUUUAUUAGAACUAUCACCAAACACAGCAGAAACAACUGGCACAUACUAUUAGUAGUUUUGUUUUCUAACCUCUUUCCCUAGAAUAAGUUCAGCUGGCACAGAGUGUAGGCGACAAUUUACGAAAUGUGUUCCAUAGAUAAUAUGGAUCUCUAGCACUCAGGCUGUGAUACGUGUUUCGUCAUCAUCUACCAUCUGGCCACUAAACCAAUUCUAUACAUUUUAUGCUUCUGUUAUGGCAAUACCCCACUUCAAGUUUUUAGUUUCUGUAUUAUUUAGAGGAAGAUCUCUGCUCUGAAAUAAGCAACUUUGAAUUCAGUAGCUUAUUAAUAAGUACUUAUGUCACAGUCAGUUCAAGGUACUCCACUUGGUCAGUUAGGGACCUAGGCUCCUUCUGUCUUCAAUGUAAACCUCCGAAAGACUGCAGGGGAGAAUAGGGAGAAUGCAGGAUCAUGUAAGGUGUUUAUGGUUGUGUUUGAAAGUGGUAUACAUCAAUUCUACCCAAAAUCCAUCAACCAGAACUAAGAGAUAUAAACCCAUCCUAAGAACAAGGCAGUUUCAGUAUUAUAUCUUCCUGUAUUGCCAAGAAAAUGAAGCGGUUUGGGAAACACAUAACAUUACUUCAAAUUUAGGCUUCCAUCUAAUCUUUUUUCUCUUUAGCUCAGUAGUCAAAGGUGGUUCCAAGUCAGGGGAUAGGAGCUGGGAAAGGGUCAUGAUCCGUUCCUUCAGCUAUUCAGGGACCAGGCUGCCGGCAGGUUUAUCAGCUUCCAGGUCGCUCUGAGCUUUAUAUCCAGCCAAUAGAUUGAAAUGGAAAUGAGGAGAAGGCAUACCUGUUUUUCAAAUAUCUAGGCCAAGAAGUAAUACACAUUGCUUCCAUCCAUUUUCUAUCAUUUAGAACUGGCCCAUUUAGAUAAAGGAGGGGUCUGGAAAUGAAGUUCUGGGAUGACAAUCUGUUUUUUUUAGCAAUGAUGCUAUGCUAGAAAUUGAAGAAGGAGAAUUUGGAAGAUAGACUGUCAUGAAGGGCCAAAGUGCCUGUAAGUAAGAGAAGUUUCAAGACAGGAGAACAAAGUAAGGCCAAAGACUUACUCACUUUAUAUUUUUGUUUAGAAUUUGUCUUAUGUGAUUGAUUCUUACAAAGGUAAUAUAUUUGAAUCAUUAUUUUAAAUAUGUGAUUGCCUGAGUUUAUGACACAUUAUUAUCUUAAAAGAUUUGUUUAAUUCACUAAUUUUUUUUUUAUCUCACUGCCUCAUUUUUGGGUGAAUGGGGGUCUUGCCUUAUCAGUUAGUCAUGGGAGUGACUUUCCCUUUUGGUUAUUUGGGUGUAAGUGUGCAUGGCUAUAGUGUGACCAUUCUAGGCCACACAAUGAAUCAUUUUUUUUCCUUUGCACUUCUGUUUUUAAAAAUGCACUUUUGUUUUAAAAAUCAGGGGCGCCUGGGUCACUUAGUCAGUUAAGCAUCCACCUUUUGCUCAGGUCAUGAUUUCAGGGUUCAUGGGUUCCAGCUCCGCAUCAGGCUCUGCAGGGACAGCUCAGAGCCUGAAGACUGCUUCCGAUUCUGUGUCUCCCUCUCUCUCUCUGCCUCUUCCCUGCUUGUGCUCUCUGUCUCACACAAAUAAACAUCAAAAAAAAUUAAAAUGUAAAUAAUCAAAAUGAGACUUUUCUAGGACUAAGAGUAAGAUCCAUGGCAGCAGUAAAAACCAGCAACUUUUUAAAAGCAGUUCCACCUAACAAAUCCAUAAGAUCAACCAACCCAUAGUUGCACCUUCAUCGCUAAACAUUUCCACCUGGUGUCUGAGGAAAGCAGAAAUCCAACCCCACUGCCUUCACUCUUCUACCAGUUCCAAAGAGAAAAUAAAAUAGAUGGCUUGAACCAAUUAAAGGACAUCGUGAGUGGAACUGAAAGAAAUGUGUAGGAUGGAUGGAGAUCGCACCAGAAUGUUAACAGCCACAAGAAGACAAAAGGACGGAUGCCUUAUCCUGUGAAUAAACUGGCAGUGUUGAUCUACAGCUGUAUGCAGACCACAUCUUUCUUCCAAAGCUGCAAGGCGCACAUUUAAACUCAAAUCUCAGAGAUUGCAGCACCUAGAUUGCAGUACAAAUUGGUAUGACCAACCAGACCCAGCAACCAUCGAUCUUCAUUCUUUCUGCCACCCUGGAAACUGAAACCUUUUGUAGCAAGAGUUUGGAUGUGGAUAGGAAGAUUGUGUCCAGGAAGCCAAAACCAGAAGAUCAUCUGUUUAAUCCACUCCCAGUCACACAAGACUGCAUUUCUUUGGACUUUGGGGAAUACAAUAGAAGAGUAAAAUGAAGUCUAUGCCUAUAAUAAAUUUGAAAUCUUUGUGGGUCAAAGCUGUGGCAUGAGAAACAAAAUGAAUCCCAUGACAGUCCAUUUCCUCAGGUUAGUUUAUAAUCUGUAAAAUGGAAAUCAUGCAUACACAAUUGCCUUUGGAGACAUAGAGAAGAUUAAUGAGGCUAUGUUUAUGAAAAAUCUUUAAAUUAUAUAGAGCAAAGCAUUAUCUUCAGAAAAUGAACUAUUAUUAAUACAUAUUUUUAUACAUAAGCUUAGCAUAUGACUUUGUGGAAGAAAAUCCAUGACUUUUUAGCUCUCACUUUGAAACUUAUUAUUAUUUAAACAGUAGUGUAUGGUUUGAUAAUCUAAAUAUUGCUUAAGUUCUUUAACAAAAAAAGGAAGGACAAACAUUUUCCAAUGUAGUUCAAAUUUGUAGACCAUCCAUUCUACUGUUAUGAGACUGAAAAAAUUAAGAACCUCUAGUUCUUAAACUCUGUGGCAGUUGAACUUUUGAAAGAAAAAUAUAAAAGAUAUCAGGAAGAAAAUGUAGAACAACAUUGGACAAAAAAUUACAAGAGAACUAUUUUGGGGGGUCACUUUUUUUUCUCUUUAAACAAAAGAGAACUCUUAUAUCCAAUCUCAAGUGGAGAAAUUGUAAGGUUAAAAAACAUUGUUAAUAUGUGAGAAAUGGCAUUUAAUUAACAAAAACUAUAUUUUCAUUUUUUUAAGUUUAUUUAUUUAUUUUAAGAGAGAAAGAGAAAGCACGUGAGCCAAGGAGGGGCAGAGAGAAAGUGAGGAGGAGAAUCCCAAGCAGGUUCUGCGCUGUCAGCACAGAGCCCAGUACGGGGCUUGAACUCAUGAACCGAACCCUGAGAUCAUGAUGGGAGCCUAAACCAAGAGUUGGACUCUUAACCGGACACUUAGCCAACUGAGCCACCCAGGAUUCCCUCCUUUUUUUUUUUUUUAAUUUAACAAAGAAAUCAGUCUUCUCAGGAACAUUAAUUUUAUAAAGACUAUGCCUUUUUAUAAGUAGAUUUGUAAAAAGCUAUAAAGCAGUAAUUAUAUAAAAAAGAAAAAGCAUAUUUUCUAAAACUAUACUGCUACAUAAAGUACUAGGGAAAAACUCACUGAAGUAACUCUUACCAGUUUAAAAUAAUAGUAAUUAAAAUACAAGUAUUGGCUUCAGAGCUUACUAAAAUAUGUGGGUUUUGUUAAAAAAAUUGAUUUAACUACUCAUUCAAAAUAGAAAUUUCAUAUGUAGCCACUGAAAUUUACUUUUGUACAAUGGAUGAAAAAAUGCAAAAAUUAUAGAAUAAAUGCCCAGCUUUAGGAUUUUUUUUUUACAAAUUUAAAUUAGCUUUUGAGGGUAUUUUUUAAUACAUAUGUUAAUUUACCUCUCCUAAGGAGUUUUAUCAGAUUUUUUGCUUGGAAAAUAUUGCAAAUAAUUUUUCAUUUUGAUGCAUUUUCUUAAAAUAAAAUUUAAUAGUAAUACUUAAUAUUCUUAGAUAUUUUGGAAAUGGAGUCAUACUCAGAAUUCAUAUUUCUCCAAAUAUUUUGUAGUACUAUAUUUUUAUUUUUAUUAUUUUUUAUAGAACUUUGUAUUUCAUAAUAGAUAAUGAUGCAAUACAAUUCAAAUGAAAUAGGUUUCUGGUCAUUUGAAAUGGCAAAAAGGAAUUGUAAUGAAUGAAAAUGUGAUAGUUAAGUUUAUGUGUCAACUUGACUAGGCUAUGGUGGCCAAUUAUUUUUAGUCAAAGGUCACUCUACAUGUUGUUGUGAAGUCAUUAUUUAGACAUGAUUAAAAUUUAAAUCAAUAGACUUUGAAUAAAGUAGAUUACCAUCCAUUAUGUGGGUGGGCUUUAUGCAGUCAAUUGAAGGCCUUAAGAGAAAAAGCUGAGGUCCACUGAAGAAGAAGGAAUUCUGCAUGAAGAUCACCCUGGACUUGAGACCGAAACAUCAACUCUUAUCCAAAUUUUUGGCCUGCGGCCUGCCCUGCAAAUUUCCAACUUGCCAGCUCCCCAAAUCAUAUAAGUCAAUUCUUUAAACACACACACAUUUAUAUACACACACUCAUAUAUCCUACUGUUUCUAUUUGGAGAACCCUGACUAAUACAGAAAACACCCACCCAUACCCACCCCCAAAAACAAACAAGCAAGCACUAAAUUCUAUAGUAACCAUGGUAGCAUAAGAACAACAAACUUUAGAGGGAAUAAAGGAAACAGUGGAGAAAGGCACACAGCUGUUUUCCAUUCCUGAAUUUUGUUUUUAACUGGAGUAAAAGCUUUGAUAUAAUAUGCCUUGAAAUUUUACUUGAAAAAUUAAUUGGAUUUGGCUGGGAUGAAAAACAACCACAUUAUCAGUGCUAAAAACUGGCUUAAGACCAUAAUUCAAAGCAGAAAAAACCAUCACAAUAUACUCUUAAUGAGUUAGAUACAGAGAAUUAGAACAUUUAGAACAGAAAAGAGACUGAAAGUCAAUGGUAUUUUUGUAUGAGUAAAAUCUGAUAUUAGCUCUCAGGAAGGGAGGUAAUAAAUCCUUUCAACAUGAUUUCCGAAAUAAAUAGUUGGAAUCCUAGAAAUUUUUAUGUAAAAUGAAAGGUGGUGUUCUAAGCAGAAUGAAUAUGGACUGGUUUUAUGACUUGAAGGUUAUUGUAUUGAGAACAGCUUUGAUUAAAUAUUCUUUACUCUUCCACACUAAGGAGAAAUAUAAAAGUCUAUAGACAGCCCUUGACAAAAAGGAUGUUGAAACUAUAAGUUCUCUAGGUUUCUGCCAUGGCAUCUCAAUAUCAGUCUUUUUGUUCAUUCUUGAAGAUAACCACUCAAGAAUAAACUUAAAGAGUAUUCAGCUUCUAUAGCCAAUCAAAUAAAAUAAUUAAGUUCACCAAAUGCACUUUAUAACUGAAGAGAUACUGUGAAAAGGACGAUGGCCAAAUCAGUGAACAUUAGAAAAUGUGAUCAGACUACAAGUUAAGUAUUUUGUUUUUGUCAUAAGCAUAGACAUUUUUCAGAACUGUUCCUGGCUAUGAAUGCUUUGGAACAAGUAAGAAGGUGUAUGAGCUGAUAUUUAUGGACUUUUAAAAUUUUCGUUUCUUGUCAUUCCUGUGUUAGUUAUUUGCCUGUUUGGUUGCUAGUCUAUUUCUCCCAUUCUCUUGCUUUUCUGUGUAUCACAGAUUUUCAUGUCUAUUGACUUGUGGUUACAUUCAGCAAGUUUCAGGCAUUGCUGAGUGUGAAAAAAGAAUAAAUUAGGGCAUUUCCCCCACUCUUUCUCUGCCCAUAGUAGCUUUCUGAGCAGUGACUAUGUAUCUAUAUGGGGUUUUAUACCUGGUAGACAGACUGCCAGUGUUCCAUUGUUCCUGCUUCUGCCUGCCAAGCAGUAGAUUCUAAUGCCCCUUGGACAACCCUACCUUCUUGCUCUUCUUAUACUAUUCCCUCUCAUUAUCCCCUUUUGCCGUAGGAAUAGUUGGUGUCUUCCUGCUGUUGCUAGUAUUUGUCAUGUUUCAUGAUACUCAGUGUGGCUCUCAACUUUUUUUUUUUUUUUCCAUCACUUGUUUAAUCAACUCUCCAUGAUGGGUGCCUGGGUGGGUCAGUUGGGUAAGUGUUCAUCUUCAGCUCAGGUCACGAUCUCACGGUUCGUCAGUUCAAGCCCCGUCUGGGGCUCUGUGCUGACAGCUCAGAGCCUGGAGCCUGCUUUGAAUUCUGU